CAUCUUGGUUCGCGGGCGGGGUCAUCGGACACAUUUUUUAAACUAUAUACCCUAAUGAUGAUUGUGGACAAGUUUGGUUAAAUUUGUCUUAGUAGUUUCAGAGGAGAAGAUUUUUGUAAAAGAUUACAAAAAUUUACGAAAAAUGGUUAAAAAUUGACUAUAAAGGGCAAUAACUCCUUAAGGGGUCAACUGACCAUUUUGGUCAAGUUGACUUAUUUGUAGAUCUAACUUUGCUGAACAUUAUUGCUGUUUACAGUUUAUCUCUAUCUAUAAUAAUGUUCAAGAUAAUAACCAAAAACUGCAAAAUUUCCUUAAAAUUACCAAUUCAGGGGCAGCAACCCAACAACUGGUUGUCCGAUUCAUCUGAAAAUUUCAGGGCAGAUAGAUAUUGAUCUGAUAAACAAUUUUACCCCAUGUCAGAUUUGCUCUAAAUGCUUUGGUUUCAGAGAUAUAAGCCAAAAUCUACAUUUUUCCCCUAUGUUCUAUUUUUAGCCAUGGCGGCCAUCUUGGUUGGUUGGCCGGGUCACCAGACACAUUUUUUAAACUAGAUACCCCAAUGAUGAUUGUGGCCAAGUUUGGUCAAAUUUGGCCCAGUAGUUUCAGAGGAGAAGAUUUUUGUAAAAGUUUACGGACGACGGACGCCAAGUGAUGAGAAAAGCUCACUUGACCUUUCAGGUCAGGUGAGCUAAAAAUGCUAUUUUUGGCCCCUUUUUUGUCCCUUAUUCCUAAACGUUUUGGGCAAUUCCCCCAAACUCAAUUCCAGCUUUCCCUUUGUGUUAUGGAACCCUGUAGUUCAAUUUCAGAAAGAUCCAUACACUUACACACAAGUUAUUAUCAUGAAACUAGAAAAAUGCUUAUUUUUUGCCCCUUUUUUGGCCCCCAAUUCCUAAAAUUUUGAGGCAAUUACCCCCAAAAUCAAUCCCAGCAUUCCCUUUGUGAUAUGGAACCUUGUGGUACAAUGUCAGAGAGAUCCAUACACUAACACACACGUUAUGUCUGGAAAUUACAAAAAUGCUUAUUUUUGGCCCCUAAUUCCUUAACUGUUGGUACCAUAACCCCCAAAAUCAAUCCCAACCUUCCUUUUGUGGUAUUGAACCUUAUGGUAAAAUUUCAUAGAGAUCCAUUCACUUAAACCAAAGUUAGAGUGCGAAAACCAAUGUGUCUUCGGACGACGACGCCAACGUCAUACCAAUAUACGACCACAAAAUUUUUUAACGGUCGUAUAAAAAGAAGAUAAAAUUUGUCAUUUAAGGGCAAUAACUCCUGUAAGAAGUCAUCCGACAGUUUUGAUGUAUAUGGACAAUUGGUAGAGCUCAACAUUCUCUAUAACGGUUUUCAAAACAAUAGACAAAACUUGCAUUUUACCCCUAUGUUCUAUUUUUAGCUAUGUCGGCCAUCUUGGUUAGCAGGCAGGGUCAUCAGACACAUUUUUUAAACUAGAUACCCCAAAUGAUGAUUGUGGCCAAGUUUGUGAAGGGCCAGGUGAGCUAAAAAAAAAGUGCGGAAAACUGAUUAUUUGCAUGAAUUUUCUAAGUCCGAGGACCACAACUCUGCACAAAAUCAUCAGACCGGAACAUAAUUCGAACUCGAUCUGUAACUCAUGGGAAAACUAUAUACAAUAUAUCAAAUCAAUAUCAAAAGUGCAGAAAACUGAUUUGCCGGACUGACGGAUGGACAGACAGACAGACGGAGGGCAAACCUAAAGUCCCCUAGACUUCGUCGGUAGGGGACAAAUAGGUUCAGGCCGAAAAAAAGAAGAAAAAAUUUUACAAAAUUUUGUUUCUUGUAUUUUGCAACUUUUUCAACUUUCAAUAUAAAACACAAUGAUCAACAUCUGGAUGCUAUGUAACGAUGAUGGUCUAGUUCACUGAUGAAUAUACUAAUUCAAUAUAUCACACAAAUUCAUUUAUUAAAAAUCUAAGGUCCACCGUGUUUAUUUAUUUUGUGCAAUACGCCAUGUGAUGUACAACUCUUGGAACUUGUCAAAUCCAGCCAAUA